GCCGUUCAUCUUUCCAGCCAGCGGCGGUCGGCCGGAACCCGGCGACCCGUUCUACACGUCGCCGGGCGACGGACCCGAGCUACGGCUCAUUUCCUUGCAGCUUACUGGACCUGAAAACUACACUACCUGGGCUCGAGAUCUUCGGCGGGCACUGGUGACCAAGGAGAAAGAAGGCUUCAUAGACGGCAGCGUACUCUUCCCGACCGACGAACGCUCACAGCGGCAUUGGCGCAGGUGCAAUCAACUCGUGCGGACGUGGAUCGGCAACUGUUUGGCUCCUGAGGUGGCCGCCGGGCUUCCACCAACUGAAGACUCGAAGGCGAUUUGGGAGGCGAUCCGAGAGAUGUACGGCAAGCUUGAUCGAGCCAAGCUUUUCUCGCUCACCCAAGCCGUAUCCGACCUGAAACAAGGAAAUCAGACCAUCACAACAUGUUUCAAUCGGCUCUCUGCCCUCUGGAACGAACUCGAGGCUGCCGAGGAAAGACUCGAGGGACCGGACGAAACCCUAAAUCAAUAUAGGGCUAUUCGAGACAGAGAAAAAUCGACUCGAUUUUUACUGAUUUUAAAUGAAAGUUACUCACAUUUCAGGUCCCAAGUGCUCGCAAUGGAGCCGCCACCAUCGCUCCGGCGGAUCUACCAGUUGGCGGUUCAAGAAGAAAGCCAGAGGAUGGCGGCGACUGGACUCGUGCGAACCGGAGAAGGAGCGGCGUUCGCGGCUCUCGGAUCUGGCC
rnacentral:lncRNA from 1 species